AUUGAACGCUGGCGGCAGGCCUAACACAUGCAAGUCGAGCGAGCGGGGGACGGGGGAGUGAUGUGUGGGAACAUGCUUGAUGGGGGGGGAGGACUAAUGGAAGCGGUAGCUAAUAACGCAUACCCUCAACUGGGAAGAGAUGGGAGGAGCUAGUAGGUGGGGUAAGGGCUCACCUAGGAGACGAUCCCUCGCUGGUCUGCGAGGAUGACCGGCCACACUGGAAUGGUGCCACGGCCCGGCCUCCUACGGGAGCCAUCAGUGGGGAAUAUUGCCCAAUGGGCGAAAUCCUGCUGCAGCCAUGCCGCGUGUGUGAAGAAGCCCUUCGGUUUUUAAAGCCCUUUCAGCGGGGAGGCGUUACCCGCAGAAGAAGCACCGGCUAACUCCGUGCCAGCCGCCGCGGUAAUUC
rnacentral:rRNA from 1 species